GAUUGGCUCCGGCCGUUUUCAUAUCCACACACACCGUGAACCGUUCCCACGUCCCCUCUGAGGGGGGGGCGAGGGACUACCAACCCAAACAUUGUCCAAUGAACGUGAAAUGUCGUAAACAAAACAAAACUUUCAACAACGGAUCUCUUGGCUCU
rnacentral:misc_RNA from 1 species